rnacentral:rRNA from 1 species
GGUGGUUUGUCGCGUUGUUCGUGAAAUCUCACAACUCAAUUGUGGGCGUGCGGGCGAUACGGGCAGACUGGAGUACUGCAGGGGAGACUGGAAUUCCUGGUGUAGCGGUGGAAUGCGCAGAUAUCAGGAGGAACACCGGUGGCGAAGGCGGGUCUCUGGGCAGUAACUGACGCUGAGGAGCGAAAGCGUGGGGAGCGAACAGGAUUAGAUACCCUGGUAGUCCACGCCGUAAACGGUGGGUACUAGGUGUGGGUUUCCUUCCUUGGGAUCCGUGCCGUAGCUAACGCAUUAAGUACCCCGCCUGGGGAGUACGGCCGCAAGGCUAAAACUCAAAGGAAUUGACGGGGGCCCGCACAAGCGGCGGAGCAUGUGGAUUAAUUCGAUGCAACGCGAAGAACCUU